GCGGCAUAGCUCAACUGGAAGAGCAACGCGCUUUGACCGCGCAGCUUGAAGGUUCAGACCUUCCUGCCCCCUGCCA
rnacentral:tRNA from 1 species